rnacentral:rRNA from 1 species
UGAGGAAUAUUGCGCAAUGGGGGCAACCCUGACGCAGCAACGCCGCGUGAGUGAGGAAGGUUUUCGGAUCGUAAAGCUCUGUCGAGUGGGAAGAAAUGUAUCAUGGCUAAUAUCCAUGAUACUUGACGGUACAGCUAAAGGAAGCAACGGCUAACUCCGUGCCAGCAGCCGCGGUAAUACGGGGGGUGCAAGCGUUGUUCGGAAUUAUUGGGCGUAAAGAGCGUGUAGGCGGCUGAAUAAGUCAGAUGUGAAAUCCCUGGGCUUAACUAAGGAAUUGCAUUUGAAACUAUUCAGCUCGAGUAGGGGAGAGGAAAGUGGAAUUCCUGGUGUAGAGGUGAAAUUCGUAGAUAUCAGGAGGAACACCGGUGGCGAAGGCGACUUUCUGGCCCUAUACUGUCGCUGAGACGCGAGAGCGUGUGUAGCAAACA